CCCGCGGCGGGGGCAAGCGGCCGGCCGCCGUGGCCCGCGCCCGGGCUCCCGGCCAGGACGCCGGGACCUGAAGGACAGCGGCGAGGCCCAGGGGCGCGAGAACACGGCCGAGGACAGAGGCCGGGCGGCCGGGGCCCUCCGCUGCUCCCCACCUCCGCGGACAGGCGACGGUCACCCGGCCCGGGCCCCGUCCCAGACGGCCGAGCCACUCGUGCAACCGGUCCUUUGCAACGGGACCUGGAGAAUUGCAGUCCGUCCGACCUGUUGCCUCGCGGUGGCCAAAGGGGACAACAGGGAGGACGCAAUUCCACCGCGGCCACUUGAUUUGCCAGGCCCCGGGCUGCAAGGUACCCAGACAGAAGGAUGGCUCCCUUCUGAGCCAAACCUAAGUCUGUCCCUUUCUCAGGCAAGAGGCCUCUGGGCUUCUCAGCAGAUCUGCCCAGUUCUUCGCAAGACUGCCUCCUGCCUUCUCUUUGGGGCCAGGGGACUGGUGUCUGCCGCCUCCUGCUGUUCCUCUGCUCCUCAGCACCAUCUGCGGUCAUGGUGAAGACACCGAGUUUGCUGGUUCUGCCCUCAUCUCCAGGAUCAUAUGGGAAAAUCUCACCCAGAUGGACUGAGAGUGGCUCAGGAGUCCCUGGCUAUGCUAAUCACAGUGACAAACAGGCCAGGAGAAGCGCAAGGGAUGCCCUUACCAGUUGUCCAUUCUUCAGCUUCCCUGGUAGUGCUGACUGGAGGCCCGUGUUCUCACUGCCUUGGAUGGAAACCUGCAGCAGUGUGACCAACCCAGGGAACAGAGUGGCCCGGCCUCUCACCAUCUGCCCUGUUCAGCUGCCCACUGGAGCCAAGGACCUGAAGGACCAUCUCUGUCUAACCCCAUAGGCACAGGCUGGAAGGGGGCUGCUACUGCCUACCUGUGGGUUCCCCUAGCCCAAGACUGAUGGUUUGCUUCCUUGUGCCAAGUCUCCCAGAGCCCCUAAUCCUGCUGGUGCCUCUCAUCCACCCAGGAACAGCUCUGGGCAGCUGUCAGAUUCUUCCCUGACCCAUCCAAAGCAGGCCCCUUGUGAGGUGACAAGAAAAACCAAAGUCAGGGGCCUCCAGAAAUGGCAGUCCCCAUCCAAAUCCCCUCUGGGCAGCUGCCUCCCUAGCUUCAGCCUCUUCCUAAGCAGCUAGGAAAGGACGAAGGCCCAUAAUCUGGUAUCCUUGCAUGUUUGAGCCAGUGGCAAUGUUCUUGUGUGUGUGUGUGUGUGUGAGUGUGUGACCAUGAGAUGAGUCUGGUAUGGAUGGAACUGGGGGAGCUGCUAGGGUAUCAAUUUUCCCCUGUAUAUGAAGAACUUGGACUAUACCCAUCCACCCCCAACAAUGGGUAUAGUCCCACCCUUUCCAGAGAGAGAUCCCUGACCAGGCCUCAGUUUUGUGUUCCUGCCUUCCUCUGGCCUUCAGUAGUUAGAGCUUCAGCUUUUCUCCUCCCCUCAUGGCUGCGCCCUCCCCUGUGGGGCCUUGCUGUGUGAUGGGGUCUCCAUGCACUUUAUUUAUUGGCAGUCUGUGUUCCAGGAAGUAGAAGCUCAACAAAUGUUGAGACACCAUCAGGGCGACUCUAGUUUUCUGUGUGAUGAAAUGCACUGCCAGCAGUCUUGUCAGGAAUGGGGUCUUGUUUUGCUGUAGUAAUACCUUGUUGGUUCUUCAUAUGUAAAGAAAUUCCUUGUGUUCUGUAU